AUCCAUGGAUGUCUGCUUGCUGUCAUUAAACUUGUCCAAUAUGGGUUUUGUAUCAUUUACAGCCUCGCCGCUCAUUUAUCUAGUUACGUACAGAGUCCUAAUUUUCCACGUCUCAAACAUCCCAAUAUCAUGGUCCCAUGAUCCAUAAAAUCCACAUGAUCCAGGUAGUUACAUCCCCCAAAAUGUCCUUCAUAACAAAAUGGGGAUAAAAGUUCAAAAGAAAUAUAAAAAGAAACAAGGACAGACAGGUAUAAGAAAUUGAAGAGAAGAAAGUGAAGAAUUGAAAAAUUGAUAAUAUCAAAAGGGAGAUCUCUGGAGCUGGUUGUUCGGAGAGCGUAUAGUGGCGUGGAUCUCGGUGAUGGCAUGUUUACGAAUCAGAGAAAAGAAAGAAAAAACUGCGGGGGUGGGGGAUAGAGAUAGGAGGCACAAGUUUAACGGGCGAGAGGUUCAAGAUCAAUGUCUUGUCGACCUCGACCUCGACCUUGAAGUGGGAGGCUUCGAUCGCUUCGAUCUGGCUGGAGCUGAACUACCUAAAAAAAACAGAAACAAACAGCGAAGUUAGCAAAAAAGGAAAAAAAAAAAAAUUCAUUUGAUCAACAACAUCUCCAAAUGCAUAAGCAGAAGGGGGAACGGAGUUGAUUUUUCACUCACUGCUACUGCUGCUACUACUAUAAUCAUAGUAGUAAUACGAAUCAGAAUACCCCGAGCUGGGCGGCGCCUGCUGAUUCUUGCGCCGCAACCCCAGACAAAUCGCCAGCGUCCCAAGAACCAGGCCCACGCUCGUCCACUUCCCCAUCCCAAACAGGCCGGACCGUUUCGAUUUCUCAGACGAGUAAUAGGAGUACGAAUCCGAGUGCCGCGCAGGAGGCGGGCGGGACGGUCGGUGCCCAAACCAAGUACGGCCGGGCCGCCCGCCGCUGCCCUCGGAGAACGACUGUGUGGUGCCGGAGCCGCUCCCUCUCCUUCUGCCGCAUCCAAACAGCGCCAGGAUUCCCUCGAUGGCGCCCUUGGCACAGGCGGACAGGCAGAGGACGAGUAAGAGUAUGAUGCCGAUGAGGACACCGAUGACGAUGCCUGCGAUGGCGCCACCGCUGAGUCCACCGCCGCCCUUCGAGGCUUCUGGCGGGGGCAGCAGGACGCCGUCUGUGCCGACUGGAGGGAGGAAAGGGACGGUCGCAGUGGGAGCGGUGGUGAUGGUUGCACCGCCGGAACUCGUUGGUCUGGAGGGAGGGGUCGGCGAUGGCCCGACCGAGGGCUCGAAGGGGGAGCUUCCGGCCUCGAUGCAUUGGCCUUCAUAUUUGCACGCCUGCGCGGCGGUGCAGCAGAUGGUGCCGCAGGCGGAUUCGCCGAGGUUAAGUUGGCAUUGGAUCUGGCUGCGAGAUGUUGGGGCCGAGACCAAUCUGCUGCCCACCGAGGUCACUGUGACCAGGUCCGUUCGGACGAAAGUUGUCGUGAAUGUCUCCCAUUGACCUUCGGCCGCGCGGGGUUUUUCCACGAAGCUGGAGUCGACGCAGAUGGCUUGGUUGUUGUCGUUUGUGGUGCAGGUUUGCGUUGCGGUGCAGCAUUCUUGCCCGUAGAAGCCGCAGGGCGUGCAAUCGCGGGUAGCGAGGCCGGUGUUGAAAUGUACAGGGAAUGGAAAUGCGUGUGUCGAUAAUGAAGGUGAUUGCGAGAGGAUAGAUAGGAUGGCCAAGGCCGUUGGAGAUAUCCCGAGGCGUCGCAUAGCUGCUGGUGGGUUGUAUCCACUUCAAGUAGAUAAGCCCAAGAGUUGGCUGAGGAUUUGGUGUCUCUCACCAAGCACUGUACAAGUACAGUUUGGAUCUAGAGAACCAGCAACCCAACUGGAGCUUCCUGAGCUACAAUUUCGGAUACAAGCUGCUGUAGGAAGGCCUCGUAGGUCAAUAACUGGUGAGGUUGUGGGGUGUGUUAUCGAUAACUGGCUACCGAGCUUAGCUUCCUCAAUGCUGUGAUGCGCUUGUUGGAGUCUGGACAACACCAGACAGUUCGAAUCGAAUGGAAUGAUGGAAGCAGAAAGAUGUAAAAAGAAAAGAGAAGAGAGAAGAGACGGAGAAAAUAAAACCAGGAAAACUCUUCGAGGAACAAGACCUGAAAAGCGAGGUGGGCUCUCCGCUGUCUGGUGCUGUAUGCGGCCCAGCCCUCGAUUUUCGCUCCCAGCCACCAUAUCACUAGCUAGUAGUUUACCCAACCACCCGCUUUCCCCACCAACAAGUGGCACUGGAAGCAUUUGUGUAUUUGUUCCUAACUUCAGUUGUAACCCUAAUGAGCAUAAAAAAAUGGAAAAAUUAGGGUCUGAUGAUUAAAAGGGGAACACGACGAUUGCGGAAUCAACCGUUCGGCCUAUGCGCUGUUCUCUGCGGGGCAUCGAAGCAAGGAAAUCAAUCAUCGAUUCCUCUUGAGCUCUUGAUGAUGCACGCCGACUUGGCAAGACAGACAGACAGGGCAGAGCAUCGGACAGGAAAUAUGGCGGGCAGGGAACCUGUCAAGAUUGUUAAGCUGUGCCCCACACACAGGGGAGAAACCAGUGCCUCCGUGUCUCUCUCCGUGUCUCUCUCCGUGUCUCUCUCCUCGUGUCUCUUCCCUCGAGUUGCAGCUGUCAGCCAUUGUUUGAUCUGAAAAUCGUUCAGUUCGCUGGAAACUUUCAACGGGAAGCAGAACGGGCCGCAGAGUUACCACACGAUGCGAAGGGUUAAUUAAUGCGCUGACUCAUCUGUUUAUUUACUCUUGGGGAAAAGAUUUCUUGAUACAACUAGAUCAUAUACUACUCAUAUACAAGGAAGGUCAUUCAUGGUUCCCAUCAUUGAGAAGAGAGAGACGAAAAAGAAAAAGGAAACGAAAAGAAGCGCCAUAAGCCGCUUUUGUCAAACCAACUGUCAACCCAAAAUGGAAAAAGCAGAUGCAACAGCAGCAAACCUAAAAAAAAUUAUAUAAAUAAACCCAUAAUAUAGAAAGAAGAAAACAAUUUGCGAAAAAACAAGAGGAAAAGAAAAAAGAAAAAAGAAAAAUAAGAAAGCAAGAAAGAAAGAAAAAUUCCAACAGGACAAAUUUAAACAACUAUUCCCGCAACCGCAACCACAACCCCGGCUACAAUAUCAUACACCAACCCCUGCCCCCUCGCCGCAACAACCCCUCCAGAUCCUAUCCCAUCCCUAAACGCCGUACAAUACCCUACCUGCAACCCGUGACACGCCGCCGUGCUCAGACUCGAGCACACAGAUUGCGGAUUGCCCACCGUCGGCUGCACGCCGGGCACCGUGAUGCCGCGCGCGCCCCCGACCGUGACGCCGUUCACGCCGCCCAGCGACGCCGUGCAGCUGGAGAAUUGCGCCUGGCAGCCUGAGUAGGCGGAGACGCAGGCCUCUUGGUUCGGG
rnacentral:sRNA from 1 species